rnacentral:rRNA from 1 species
ACGUAGUUAGCCGUGGCUUUCUGAUUAGGUACCGUCAAGAUGUGCACAGUUACUUACACAUUUGUUCUUCCCUAAUAACAGAGUUUUACGAGCCGAAACCCUUCAUCACUCACGCGGCGUUGCUCCGUCAGGCUUUCGCCCAUUGCGGAAGAUUCCCUACUGCUGCCUCCCGUAGGAGUCUGGACCGUGUCUCAGUUCCAGUGUGGCCGAUCACCCUCUCAGGUCGGCUACGUAUCGUCGCCUUGGUAAGCCGUUACCUUACCAACUAGCUAAUACGGCGCGGGUCCAUCUAUAAGUGAUAGCAAAACCAUCUUUCACUUUAGAACCAUGCGGUUCUAAAUGUUAUCCGGUAUUAGCUCCGGUUUCCCGAAGUUAUCCCAGUCUUAUAGGUAGGUUACCCACGUGUUACUCACCCGUCCGCCGCUAACUUCAAAGGAGCAAGCUCCUUAUCUGUUCGCUCGACUUGCAUGUAUUAGGCACGCCGCCAGCGUUCAUCCUGAGCCAGGAUCAAACUCU